rnacentral:rRNA from 1 species
AAAUAAGUUAAGACAAGUCGUAACAAAGUAAGACUACUGGAAAGUAGUAUUAGUAA